UAGGGAAUCUUCCGCAAUGGACGAAAGUCUGACGGAGCAACGCCGCGUGAGUGAUGAAGGCUUUCGGGUCGUAAAACUCUGUUGUUAGGGAAGAACAAGUACAAGAGUAACUGCUUGUACCUUGACGGUACCUAACCAGAAAGCCACGGCUAACUACGUGCCAGCAGCCGCGGUAAUACGUAGGUGGCAAGCGUUAUCCGGAAUUAUUGGGCGUAAAGCGCGCGCAGGCGGUUUCUUAAGUCUGAUGUGAAAGCCCACGGCUCAACCGUGGAGGGUCAUUGGAAACUGGGGAACUUGAGUGCAGAAGAGAAAAGCGGAAUUCCACGUGUAGCGGUGAAAUGCGUAGAGAUGUGGAGGAACACCAGUGGCGAAGGCGGCUUUUUGGUCUGUAACUGACGCUGAGGCGCGAAAGCGUGGGGAGCAAACAGGAUUAGAUACCCUGGUAGUCCACGCCGUAAACGAUGAGUGCUAAGUGUUAGAGGGUUUCCGCCCUUUAGUGCUGCAGCUAACGC
rnacentral:rRNA from 1 species